UAAUACAGAGGGUGCAAGCGUUAUUCGGAGUUACUGGGCGUAAAGAGCUCGUAGGCGGUUCUUCAAGUCUGAUGUGAAAUCCCUGGACUCAAUCCAGGAAGUGCAUUGGAUACUGCUGAACUAGAGUAUAGGAGAGGAAAGCGGAAUUCCAGGUGUAGAGGUGAAAUUCGUAGAUAUCUGGAGGAACAACAGUGGCGAAGGCGGCUUUCUGGACUAUAACUGACGCUGAGGAGCGAAAGCGUGGGGAGCAAACAGG
rnacentral:rRNA from 1 species